UACAGAGGGGGCAAGCGUUAUUCGGAAUUAUUGGGCGUAAAGGGCGCGUAGGCGGCCUGGCAAGUGGAAGGUGAAAUCCCUCGGCUUAACCGAGGAACUGCCCUCCAAACUGCUUGGCUUGAGUCCGGGAGAGGUGAGUGGAAUUCCAGGUGUAGCGGUGAGAUGCGUAGAUAUCUGGAGGAACACCGGUGGCGAAGGCGGCAUUCUGGACCAUUACUGACGCUGAUCCGCGAAAGCUAGGGGAGCAAACGGG
rnacentral:rRNA from 1 species